GUGUAAUUAACUUGCCGCAAUGUUUGCCUGUAAUACUGUCACUUGAAGGACCUCUUCAACGCGUUUACUAAUCGAUAUCCGACUUCUGAAGUGCCGCCGCAACUUUACCGUUAGCAAGUUUGCUAACGUGUGAAACGUACCCAGCAAGCAGGUCUAUUUUCUGCAGUAACGUCCUCAAGUUUCCUGCUGGAGUUGGGGCUGUCAAACCAUUCAAGUGGCCCAUGAUGACUGACUGAAAGGACAUUACGUGAAUUCACUACAAGUCAAAAUCAGAUAAACAGACAGGAACAUCAGCCUUCUUGGUGCCAGAUGGGAAUACUUGAGAAUAGCAAGAAAAACGGUUCAAGUAGGCCCGACAACAGAGAUCACACACAACCACAAGAAGUGACCCCAGGAGGGCAACAGACCUUAUGUUGGCAGUUUUUGGAAGGCAGGUCCUAGCCACGCACUCAUAUUCCGGAAAACCACCAGUAGAAUUCAACAAAAAACCUCUGACAUAAACUACGUCACAAACAGAUUUGAUGUGGACACUUCAAUGAUCAAGCAAGCAAUGGCACAGGACUGUUCAGAUGAGGCAAAAAUGACACCCACACAAUGAUCAAAUAAUGAAAUAAUAAAUAUAUUUUGGAUAUGACCAUUUCAUUUGCU